rnacentral:sRNA from 1 species
UAUUUUUUAUUGAAUACCAGUAAAUUCUGGGCCGAAGCCCGUAAUCCCCUCAGGUUCGAAACCACAGCAUGUAAUAUUAGUUUCGUCCCAAGCGUCAUUCGAACUGGCGACCUCUAAGAUUCGCCUAAGGUCUUUACUAAUUGAGCUACAAUGGAUAAUAAAAGAAUCUAACCUUCCAACAAAAAGAAAUAGUAUUACUAAAGUCAAUAAGAACA